rnacentral:sRNA from 1 species
GGGAAGGGAAAGAAGUGAGCAGAAUCCAAGCUGAUGGGGCUCACACAGGCCUGCUUCCUGCCUUUCUUAUGGCAAUUAGCAAAUGAAAGGGAGCAGUGAGUCUCUCUCCACAGGCUGCAGGGGGAGGCUUAGUGGUCGGCACUGCUGAGGAAACACUUGCUUUAUCCUUGUGUUUCCCCUCCGCUAGCCAAGUCUGUGCUUCUGAUUGAUGGGCCGAGGUUCUGUCAUUAUCGGUGUACACUGAGGAAACUAUCCCUCAGUCCAGAGUGGGAACCAGAUCUUACUUUCAGAUACUGGGCAUAAAUUGCAUUUUGUAAAAUAUCUUCUAAGUCAUGUAAGAGGCAGACCCAGAUUGCUUUAAUUGCAGAGUAAGUCAGGAGCAGAAAGAGGCUCCUUGGGUAAGAAUGCUUGCUCUGCAAGCGUGAGGGCCUGAACCUAAGCUCAGAUCUGCAGCACCCAUGCUAAGUUCAAUUAAAAAGCCAGGCAUGGCUUCAUGUGGCUGCAUCCCCACCAUUGGGGAGUUGAGGAGGGCAGACCCCAAGAGCCUGGGGCUAGCCAGCUUAGUCAAAAUGGUGGCUUCUGGUUCAAUGAGAGACCCAAUCUCAAGGUUCUGUCUCUACAUGCGCACACAUGACACUGCACCUACACACUCACGUGCGCACAUCUCAUACACGGUAGAUUAAUAAACUAAUUAGACGUCAAAGAGCUUUGGAAAGGGGGUCAGAAAUCCCCAAUUUCAGGGCUGGGAUCUGGUUCUGCCUGCCAUGCACUCUGAGUCUGCUCCCUCACACUGCACAAACUGCCCAUGGUGAUGUGAGAUCCCAGCCGUGGGAGGUUGAAGCAGGAGGCUCAAAAGUUCAAAGCCAUCUGUGACUACAUAAGACUGUCUCAAAAACCAACCAACCAAAACCCAGGAACUAAUUAGUUCAACAGAGUUAGGUCACCCAAGGGGACAAAGGCCGGGAUACAAAGGACAGCGAGGAGCUCUGGGUCUUGCCCACAGAAGACCAAGUCAGAAGAGCAACAGCUCAAAGCCACCCAGGGAUACGAGACUCCGAACAAACAAACCACAAAGCAGAGGAGGAGGAAGCAGAGGAGGAAUCAAAAGGAAGCGCCAGAGCCCCGCCCCUCAAAAUGAGUACCAGAGAUCCAUAGGAAGCAGGUGGAGAAGGAAGGUCCCAACACGACUUCCACUCAAGUCACGUGACAGGGCAUCAUCAAAGACCUAGUACUUAUUAUGGUGUUCACCUUUAAUUAAAACAGUACAGACUUACAUCUUA